rnacentral:pre_miRNA from 1 species
AAUAUGAGUGUUACAAAAUGCUUGAGUCCUGUUGUUUGGCCAGUUUGAAUUUACCCCAUUCAGAGGUAACAAAUUGUUGUAGUUGUAAGGUACAAACGUUCGGUAUAAACGUCCAAAAGAUCAAGGAAUGAAUGCACCUUCCAACUGCAACAAUUGUCUUCCUUUGAAUGGGGUAAUUCAAACUUGUUAAACGGCAGAACUCCAGCAUUCGAUGAGCAUCUUGAA